AGCUUGCUCCUUUGACGUUAGCGGCGGACGGGUGAGUAACACGUGGAUAACCUACCUAUAAGACUGGGAUAACUUCGGGAAACCGGAGCUAAUACCGGAUAACAUAUUGAACCGCAUGGUUCAAUAGUGAAAGGCGGCUUUGCUGUCACUUAUAGAUGGAUCCGCGCCGUAUUAGCUAGUUGGUAAGGUAACGGCUUACCAAGGCAACGAUACGUAGCCGACCUGAGAGGGUGAUCGGCCACACUGGAACUGAGACACGGUCCAGACUCCUACGGGAGGCAGCAGUAGGGAAUCUUCCGCAAUGGGCGAAAGCCUGACGGAGCAACGCCGCGUGAGUGAUGAAGGUCUUCGGAUCGUAAAACUCUGUUAUCAGGGAAGAACAAAUGUGUAAGUAACUGUGCACAUCUUGACGGUACCUGAUCAGAAAGCCACGGCUAACUACGUGCCAGCAGCCGCGGUAAUACGUAGGUGGCAAGCGUUAUCCGGAAUUAUUGGGCGUAAAGCGCGCGUAGGCGGUUUUUUAAGUCUGAUGUGAAAGCCCACGGCUCAACCGUGGAGGGUCAUUGGAAACUGGAAAACUUGAGUGCAGAAGAGGAAAGUGGAAUUCCAUGUGUAGCGGUGAAAUGCGCAGAGAUAUGGAGGAACACCAGUGGCGAAGGCGACUUUCUGGUCUGUAACUGACGCUGAUGUGCGAAAGCGUGGGGAUCAAACAGGAUUAGAUACCCUGGUAGUCCACGCCGUAAACGAUGAGUGCUAAGUGUUUAGGGGGUUUCCGCCCCUUAGUGCUGCAGCUAACGCAUUAAGCACUCCGCCUGGGGAGUACGACCGCAAGGUUGAAACUCAAAGGAAUUGACGGGGACCCGCACAAGCGGUGGAGCAUGUGGUUUAAUUCGAAGCAACGCGAAGAACCUUACCAAAUCUUGACAUCCUUUGACCGCUCUAGAGAUAGAGUCUUCCCCUUCG
rnacentral:rRNA from 1 species